rnacentral:rRNA from 1 species
GACGAACGCUGGCGGCGUGCCUAAUACAUGCAAGUCGAACGCAGUGGGGACGGGUGAGUAACACGUGGGUAACCUCCCAUCAGAGGGGAUAACACUUGGAAACAGGUGCUAAACCGAUACUGAUGGAUGGACCCGCGGUGCAUUAGCUAGUUGGUGGGGUAACGGCUCACCAAGGCCACGAUGCAUAGCCGAUCUGAGAGGACGAUCGGCCACACUGGGACUGAGACACGGCCCAGACUCCUACGGGAGGCAGCAGUGGGGAAUUUUCGGCAAUGGACGAAAGUCUGACCGAGCCAUCCCGCGUGAGUGAAGAAGGUCUUCGGAUCGUAAAACUCUGUUGUCAGAGAAGCGGUAUCUAACCAAAAAGCAACGGCUAACUACGUGCCAGCAGCCGCGGUAAUAC